CUAACAUGCAAAAACUCAGAGGUUUCAGCAAUGACUUAUGUGGACGCCUCUGAUUGGCCAUUAUGUUCAUGAACUAAGCAGAAUCAUGUGUGAUUGGUUAUAAUGUGCAAUGCUGUAAAAACGCAUAAAAAAUUGUAAUGUGACAUGAUCAGGUCUAAAUUAAUUAGAGCAAUCAACACAUUUCAUUUAAUUUUCAUUUUGAUUUGAUUUGAAGUAUAAUAGUUUUGUGUAAGUUCCUUUCAAUGGCCACUGGAGGGUACUGUGACUUCAAAAACUGAAAAAAUCACGUUUAGAAGUUUGCAGAGGUGGGGUGUUUGAAAGGUCAGAUGCAGGCUGUGGAAAAGAGUCUAAAAUCUGGUCUGGAGACCAAGUUUUUGAAAGCAUAGCAGACUCUUUCGGUCACCUUAACACUUAUAUUUGCAUUUCUCUACUGUGAGUGGAACAAAAAAUACAAGUUUAACCUGCCACAUCUGUAGAGUUCUAGUCCUUUAAAGUGUGUCUAGAACACUGUCAGUCUUACACCUGGGUAUAAUUUAUUGUUCCUGUUUCACGGCCGCAGACCUUCGAUGUUCCUCUGUCUACUGUACUUCUCCAUCCUACUGUGAUCUUGUAAAGAUAUGUCCUACGUCAACAGGAGGUCGCAGAAUGAAGAUUAAUCAGUGGCUUUGUCAACGCUGUUGAUCUGCAGCUGUGCGCAUAAAGAAACGACAGAGAAGCAUAAAUGCUUCAAAGCAUUCCAACUUCAUUUUAGUGCUUCACAGAAGGCCUUUUUCUUCCAGUUACUGGCUUAAAGGAAAGACAGAUGAAAUGUCAGUGCGCACAUAGGGAUUAAAUGUCCUGUAUGUUUAAAACAAGAACUUCCCAAAAUCCAACAUGAGGUUACUUCAUAAAUCAAAGGAGAUCAUGUUGUUUGUCUCCACCUAACCUUGUCUUUAGUCUAUCAUUUGUCUCUUGCAUGGCACAGCCUGCUUAUAUUUUUCACUGUAACCAUGGCAUAGCCCCUAAGACAGGAAGUGAACACGUGUAGAGCUUUCCAGCCAGAGUCAACAUUCUGUCUCAAUGGUUGGCAUUUGUAUUUGGGUUGUUUUUGACCAUCCCUGGGCUGUUGACUAGUUCCCAGGCUUAUGUUGCAAUAGUGCUGAAAUUGAGAUCAGGACAAAUCUGACAGCUGGCCUCUGUUUGUCAUCCUUUUGUGA
ensembl:lncRNA